CCGAAAAAACGAAGUUGUUCAAUUUAAGCCGGCAAUGAUACUACUGUGCGGUUCGUACAUGUGUUGCCAACAUAAACUUGCACUUAAGAAAAGCUUUAUACUAUUUCGGGCCGAACCGGUUACGCUACUGCCUCAAACUGAAGCGCAAAAGGAAAAUGCCCAGACGGGACAGGCCGGACAGCGCAUCAGAAACUCGAGGAUAUGUCAUACAUCUUUGCGGGAUAAACCUUGAAAUGGUAGCCAUUAAGGACCCUAGCAAGCUACCGAGCACUCACUGUGCCUUACAGAGGAGAACAAAAGCGGGGCAUUGUGACCAUCAUGUGCGGACCAUGUGACGAAAUGAGAUGCUCAUUGAAGUUUCGUCCUGCAGCGAUAUGCAAACUUAAGUGAAUUGAUGGCCGUGUACUUAUUCUUCUCACUUUGCAACACUGUCCAGUGCCUCACACGAAUAAUGGGAAUACAUGAGACCCUCAGGAAUGAUUUUGCUAACCCACCGUCUUCCGAAAGAAGAAAAGCGCAGAUACGACGGGGAUGAGAGGCAGAUAGGGACGAGGUGAACCCAAGUUGAUUCACUUAGUGUCUUUUUUAGCCGACUCCAGAUAGCCAGUCUUGUUCGUGACCAGGAAUAGCUGCCACUGUUGUUUCCAACUACGCUGGUUAACGUCGAGGCUGUUUGGGACUCGAAAUAGGCAGAUUGUCCCUCAUCCACCGGUCGCACUCUUAGUUCGUUUGUCACCCCACGCUUCGAUUUCGGGUGGACAAACAGAAACUAAAAGGUGCGAAAGUGGGAAAACGGCUGGCUGCCCUACGCGGCUGGUGCUACCGCUAAACGAAUCCUAUGACUGCUUUUGGAAUCCCCCUUCUCGUCAGCCCACAUCGUCGAAAAGUUCGAAUUUGAUCAGAAGGAGCACGGUAACCGGGAAGGGUAUCGAUGACAUGAUAAACCCUCUAAGGUGGCUAUGUCCGCGUUCCGGACUAUUUCGAAGCUAAUAUCCACAGUCGUCCUUACUGAUCCCCAUCCCCACGACGUCUCGUUACGAGCUCGCUAUUGGGGAAAGUACUCCUUUCUGCUGGCCCGAUCAGAAGAGCGCGUGUCUGGACAAUCGGAUUGUCCUAAGUUGGGCGACAGCAAACGCCACGUAAGCGACUCAAGUGUCGUUACCUCAUCCUACGUCGACUAAGGCUAAACAGCUAUCGGUGAGGGGUUGUCUAGAAGAGGACUGUUUCAGUAGCAAAGCUGUGCAAACGUACCGACGACGCCUCAAAUAUCUCCACCAUUUUAGCGAAACGAUGUAAGGAGGGCCCGAACGUCAAGGGGCUUUAAGGCUAUGUCACUGUAUCUACCUUUCUCCAAUCACACUUUGCUACUCUGAAACCUGCGAAAAGAUACCAACAGUCAAGAAACCCUUAUGCAGAGGAACGGAAUUUCGUCGAAAGUUUAUCUAUACAGUUUAUACUAACAAACGUACUUGACGCACCUCAACAAUGUGACCUGUGGACUAUAACUUCUAUGAACUUCUUUAGAAGUCUUGCUUAGUGUUGCUCUAACAUAGUGAUUUGCCCUUCACUAUU